CGCUGAUCCACCCGACCUGACCCUCACGAUCCCGAUCUCCCCUUCCCCGAUCUCCCCUUCUUCCUUCUCUGUUCUCUCUCUCGUGGACGAUCGGCGCCGACGGGAGCAAGGCUUCAGCUCCGGCGAUCUUCCUUCUGCCGGCAUCGAUCCUUUAGCUCAGAUCUAGCCGAAGCCUUCUCCUUCUCGCUCUAAUCUCUCUGUUCUCUCAUGGGGACGAAUCGACGCCGAGCGUGGACGAGCCAACGCCGACGAUCGCCGGUGUAGAUAUAUCUUAGGAGCUUGCCGGAGAUCAAUCAAGGAGGCACGAAUCAUCUUGAUUUCCUCUGCUCAACCCUCCCCCGAUCUUUCUUCUCGGUUUUCCCGACCCUCUCCUCCCCCGAUCUGAUCGCCAGCUUGAAGAUGCCCUAGGGUUUCAAAGUUCUGGACUAGGAGGAAAGCAUCGGAUCAGUGGACCUCCCUGUUGUUGAUUGAGGUCCCGGUUAGAGUUGUUUCCCGCAGGUGAUGAGGUUGUGUACUGUUGGUGUUCUUGAUCUCACCUUGAACCCAAUUGAAUAGGGAAGGAUUUAAGGAGGAUUAUAUUAUGUGGAAACCAGUGAGGAUCUGAGAAGGUGAUCUUGGUUCCGAUAGGAAUAACCAUUGGAUCCAACAUCAAUAGCAGCUGGGACUUGAGAUAUGGAUAAAAAUAAAGGAAAGGCUAAAGUGGCCUAGAAGAAGGCGACAAGGAGACAUUGAUGGUGUGUGUGUGGUGGCUGAUAUGGAAGCUUGGGACCUUGCUAGAAGAAUUUAGAAAUCGUACCUGCUGGUGUUUUUGUUACUGUUAGAGUAGAAUUUAUCUUGCAUUACUAAUUUCGUUAUCUUUCUGUCAUUUAGUUGGAUUAACUGUUUAUGCUGGGAACAUGUUCUUUUCCUUAUUUCUGGAUUAGUUUUCAAGUUUUGUGAAGUGAGAUCUGCUUCAAUAAGAAUCUGCCGUAUGGUUCAUCUUGA